rnacentral:rRNA from 1 species
CUACGGGGUGCACCGGUGAGGAAUAUUGCACAAUGGGGGGAACCCUGAUGCAGCAACGCCGCGUGGAGGAUGACGCAUUUCGGUGUGUAAACUCCUUUUAUAUGUCAAGAAAAUGACGGUAGCAUAUGAAUAAGCACCGGCUAACUCCGUGCCAGCAGCCGCGGUAAUACGGAGGGUGCAAGCGUUACUCGGAAUCACUGGGCGUAAAGGACGCGUAGGCGGGUUGGAAAGUCAGGUGUGAAAUCCUACAGCUUAACUGUAGAACUGCACUUGAAACUUCUAAUCUAGAGUAUGGGAGAGGGAGAUGGAAUUAGUGGUGGAGGGGGAAAAUCCGUAGAUAUCACUAGGAAUACCUGAAGCGAAGGCGAUCUCCUGGAACAUUACUGACGCUAAGGCGUGAAAGCGUGGGGAGCAAACAGGAUUAGAUACCCUAGUAGUC